UGGUGCUAAUGGUGAGAAAACUAAUACGGAGGUCUCAAGGUUAAAGUUGGACAAAACUGGGAAGCUUUCAGGACUUAUUAUCAUGCCCACCAUGUUCUUUCAGUUGUCACAACUCGCUCUAUUUUUCAUUGCCCACAGAUUCUUUCUGGAUGCUCUGGUUUUUCCUUCCAAGCCUGCCCAACUGGACAACAGUAGCAUCCAUCGCUGUGUUUUGUUUCUUCAGAGGUAGGAGCAACCCGGAGAAACGACCCUGUCUGCAGCAGAUGGAUGGGUGUUCCUGUGGUGUAGAGGAAGCCACUGGUGGUCAGAGAAGCCACAGCACUCACCAAGGACACAGAACCCAGGAC
rnacentral:lncRNA from 1 species